CCGGCAUGAUGCCAUCCUGUCCCAAGCUCUUACCUCAAUAAUCUAUGAUGGAUGUUCGGCUUUCACCCAUUUGAUGAUGUGGUCGGUCACCACGAUUGGGAACUAUCUUUGUCUUGAUGCCACCAAGGAUGUCCACACUCAUAGAACAAAAUUUCUCGCAUCCUUUCACACCGAACAUUAAUGACCACGAAGCUUGUCACUUAAUCCUCUUUGCCUUCUACCCCCCUUUGCUGCCAGCA
rnacentral:lncRNA from 1 species